AUAUGGAGACAGCUUUGGCGGGUUGUUGAACGAUGUGAUUUGCUUGUGAUGGUUGUUGAUGCCCGAGACCCUUUAUUCUACCGCUGCCCUGACCUGGAGGCAUAUGCAAGAGAGAUUGAUCAGCACAAAAGGACAAUGCUUCUUGUCAACAAGGCAGAUCUGCUGCCUUAUUCUGUCAGGAAGAAAUGGGCAGAAUAUUUCUGUCAGCAUGAUAUAUUAUAUCUGUUUUGGUCUGCUAAAGCUGCUUCUGCCGCUCUGGAAGGGAAAAAACUUGGCAGCCGGUGGAACACAGAUGAACCCCAGAAUGGUGUGGUGGAUCCUGAUACAAAAAUAUAUGCUCGGGAUGAGCUUCUGGCUCGUUUACAGUAUGAGGCCGAACAGAUUGUCGAGAGGAGGACAACAUCAAGCACUAACUCUACAAGUCGGUUAGACAAUCUUUCUCUAGGAGGAAAUAUGAAUGAAAAAUUGUCAGGGAGCGUCAUGGUGGGAUUUGUUGGGUAUCCAAAUGUGGGAAAGAGCUCAACAAUUAAUGCUUUAGUUGGUCAAAAACGAGCAGGAGUCACCUCUACGCCAGGGAAGACAAAGCACUUCCAAACAUUGAUUAUUUCUGACAAGCUUACGCUAUGUGACUGCCCUGGUUUAGUGUUUCCUUCAUUUUCAAGCUCGAGAUACGAAAUGAUUGCUUAUGGAGUAUUGCCUAUUGAUCGAAUGACAGAGCACAGAGAGGCUAUUCAGGUUGUUGCCAAUCGAGUCCCAAGGCAUGUGAUUGAGGAUGUGUACAAGAUCAAUUUGCCAAAACCAAAACCUUAUGAGCCACAGUCUCGACCACCCCUAGCAUCAGAACUUUUGAAAGCGUAUUGCGUCUCCCGCGGUUAUGUAGCAUCUAGUGGGCUGCCUGAUGAAACUAGAGCUUCCCGCCAAAUUUUGAAGGAUUACGUUGAUGGAAAGAUUCCCCACCAUGAAUUGCCCCCAGGAAUGUCCAAUGAGGAUCAUAUCCAGGAAGAAGAUGCUGGGACUCUCGAGCUCUCCGAUACACGCGAUUCAGACUCGGAUAAUGUUGAAGAUUCAAAUGCGGAUGGUGAAAAUGCCCCUGGUUUUGAACAGGUGGCUGAUUAUCUUGAUUCAUUUGACCUAGCUAAUGGACUUGCCAAGCCAAGCAUCAGUGAAAAGAAGCCUAAGGCAUCUCAUAAACACCACAAGAAGCCACAGCGAAAAAAGGAUCGGACAUGGCGGAUCGGAAAUGAUGGUGGUGAUGGUAUGCCUGCGGUGAGAGUCUUGCAGAAACCAAUAAACUCAGGCCCCGUGAAAGUAGUUCCAUGAGGUUAGUUGAUGUAUGUAUCUAUAUGAACGUUGAAGGCUGAGUUUUGCAUCUUGUUAAUUUAGAAACACUGGAGGGGGAGAAACAAGGCAAUGAAAAUGGAAAUGGUUAAAACGAGGAUGUGUAUUUUUCCUAACCUAAGUGUGACUAUGUAAAUUAUUACUGUUCUUUCAUGGGUUGUGAAAU
rnacentral:misc_RNA from 1 species